CGCGUAGGCGGUCUUGCAAGUCCUGUGUGAAAUCCCUCGGCUCAACUGAGGAACUGCACAGGAAACUGCUUGGCUUGAGUUCGGGAGAGGGAAGCGGAAUUCCGGGUGUAGCGGUGAAAUGCGUAGAUAUCCGGAGGAACACCGGUGGCGAAGGCGGCUUCCUGGACCGACACUGACGCUGAGGCGCGAAAGCUAGGGGAGCAAACG
rnacentral:rRNA from 1 species